CACUAGGUCUAUCUAUCAGUAUAGGCAGGUCAGACACCAGACAGACAGAACAGGGCACUAGGUCUAUCUAUCAGUAUAGGCAGGUCAGCCACCAGACAGAACAGGGCACUAGGUCUAUCUAUCAGUAUAGGCAGGUCAGACACCAGACAGACAGAACAGGGCACUAGGUCUAUCUAUCAGUAUAGGCAGGUCAGACACCAGACAGACAGAACAGGGCACUAGGUCUAUCUAUCAGUAUAGGCAGGUCAGACACCAGACAGACAGAACAGGGCACUAGGUCUAUCUAUCAGUAUAGGCAGGUCAGACACCAGACAGAACAGGGCACUAGGUCUAUCUAUCAGUAUAGGCAGGUCAGACACCAGACAGAACCGGGCACUAGGUCUAUCUAUCAGUAUAGGCAGGUCAGCCACCAGACAGAACAGGGCACUAGGUCUAUCUAUCAGUAUAGGCAGGUCAGACACCAGACAGACAGAACAGGGCACUAGGUCUAUCUAUCAGUAUAGGCAGGUCAGACACCAGACAGACAGAACAGGGCACUAGGUCUAUCUAUCAGUAUAGGCAGGUCAGACACCAGACAGACAGAACAGGGCACUAGGUCUAUCUAUCAGUAUAGGCAGGUCAGACACCAGACAGAACAGGGCACUAGGUCUAUCUAUCAGUAUAGGCAGGUCAGACACCAGACAGAACAGGGCACUAGGUCUAUCUAUCAGUAUAGGCAGGUCAGACACCAGACAGAACCGGGCACUAGGUCUAUCUAUCAGUAUAGGCAGGUCAGACACCAGACAGAACAGGGCACUAGGUCUAUCUAUCAGUAUAGGCAGGUCAGACACCAGACAGACAGAACAGGGCACUAGGUCUAUCUAUCAGUAUAGGCAGGUCAGACACCAGACAGACAGAA